rnacentral:rRNA from 1 species
AUACAGAGGGUGCAAGCGUUAAUCGGAAUUACUGGGCGUAAAGCGCGCGUAGGCGGUUUGAUUAGUCAGAUGUGAAAGCCCCGGGCUCAACCUGGGAACUGCAUUUGAAACUGGUCAACUGGAGUAUGGUAGAGGGGGGUAGAAUUUCUGGUGUAGCGGUGAAAUGCGUAGAUAUCAGAAGGAAUACCGAUGGCGAAGGCAGCCCCCUGGACCAAUACUGACGCUGAGGUACGAAAGCGUGGGGAGCAAACAGGAUUAGAAACCCCGGUAGUCC